UUGGCACGUAGAAUGGCGGAGACUGGGAUCAAGCUGCUGAACCCCUGGUUAUUGGAUGACCCGCUCUGCCUCCUGAGCUACAGCAGCCCUGAAGGCACCAUCUUAAAUUUCACAGUGACAAAGCCAGCGUGUGUGCUUAGAGAACAAAAUAGUACAUGUAAGUUGUGCGUUAAUCUUCACAAUUCUUUUUAGGGGCUGGAAUUCAUGUAGAAGCUUGACUGAAAUAUGGACCAGGUUAGUAUCUGCUGAUAUCAGUUUCCAGAUGCUGUAUCAGCCAAUAAGACGGAACAGAAACACCAAAGAUUUUGAUUCAUUUGGGGCUUCUUUUAGCUUUACAUCUGUUAGGUGUUACGGCUGUGUGUGUGUCUGUUUCUCUCUUGUCUCUCCUCCAGCUCCACCCUGAUUAACUGAUCAGUCAUCAGUGAGGUGCACCUGGCCUGUGGAUUGAGGUUCAUUAAAACCUCCUGUGUCAGGAGCAGAGGCUUCCAGUGUGGGGACUGUUGGUUCUGAUGGGCUUCAACCUGGGAUUUUAACAUGAUUAAUACAUGUCGUUCGCCACAUAAUUGUGGGGCGUAACAAUUGGGGGCUCGUCUGGGAUAGAACAUCCAUGAGGAAUUCGGCGCUGUAACCGCUUCACUGGAUCUACAACUAUUGUACACGUGGGAGUGGUUUGACUCCACAAAGUAUCUGUAUCUUAUAUCACUGGCAUGUUAUUAUACCAGCAUAUCAAUCCAUGUGAGGACAAAUAAAGUGUAUUAUUGUCUUUGGCCUCAGUCCCCUCCACAGUCCCCAGCAAGUGACUUUCUCGCAGAUCCCACAGUUACCAGUUAGCGGUGGCUUCUAACGUUACACAGUGUGAGAAGUUUCACUCAACCGUUGAUGUCCAACGUGAUGACAGAGACACUGGGAAAUCUCCCCCUGGCUUUUUGCAGUUUGAAGCAAGACGCAGGAGGCCGAGAGUCUCAUCCGUGAGCUGCUGGAGCUUUUCAUGGUCGUCACAGACACUCGGUCCUGGACCAAGAGCGCACGAGGAACAUCUGGAGCACACAGACGUUACACAUGUCCUGUAUGCAGGAUCCACCCGACUUCUCACUCUUCACCAAGACAGGCCAGGUGAUCAAGGGUGAGUCAUAUCUCCCCGUCUACUGCUGUUGCAGAAGGACAGUGAGGGGUGUCUCGCACACACACUGGAACCUGGUUUUGAGGAAUGCCAUCCGUAAUGCUCCCUCCCACCUGGCACUAACAACCAGGACAAGCAUCCAGCUGUUUUCAGUGAAUCAGAACAUCCUCUCUCAGUGGAACAAAUGCUUCACAACCAGCUGGAGCUGAAGCAGCCAGAAACUCAGAGGACUGGGCAGAUGUGAAGAUUUGGCCCCCCUCCUUCGUGAUGUGAAGCCUCUGUGGGCAGCAAAAAAUUAACGCACAGUCAGGAGUUGUUGUUGACUAAGAUAGGGGUGCAGUCAGAUUCAGCUGGGUCACCCCUGGAUAAGCAUGUUUUUCUAAUUAGUUUGCAGCAUUUAGAAUUAUAAAAUACAUUUUUGUUAAUCUGGUACUUUCAUGUACAAUGUUACAAAUUGCUUUUCAAAGAGUAAAAAGCACCAGGCAGGCAGAUACAAUGAGAAUUAAACAAUAGAACAUGAGCAAAACUAAAUAAAUAAAUAGGAUUAGUAGACCAUUACACUAUUUUAAAAGCUUUCAGGAAAAAGAAAAGUUUUGAGAAAGGAUUUAAAAGAAAGAGGAGACAUGGGUGGUGAGUUUCAUAAUGUGGGGCUCUGAGAGCAGGGGCUUGCUCAACCUUUGUUUCCAGCUGUGACCUGGGAGUGACCUGCAGGGAUCCAUCUGCUGAUCUCAAUAAAUCUGACAAAUAUUUGGCUGCAAAGCCAUUCAGGGCUUUAAACAUGAGCAA